UUUGAUAUUUCCUUUUAAAAAUGUAUUGUAUAUAAAGGGAGGAGACAAAAAUAGUAGUACAUCCCGAUUUUCUUCUUCAAAACCAAGACCAGCACUCAGGAUAAAAAUGAAUCGCCUUCAAUGUAUGUCUAUGGUAAUGGCCGUUAUGGUUGUUGCUUCUAAUGCCAAUGGAUAUGGCAGACGUGGAGGCUGGGGUGGUGGAGCAGGUGGUAUUCGUGGCAGUAUCGGAGGUGGUAUAAGUGGCAGCAUCGGAGGGGGUGGCCUAGGCGGCGGUCUUGGUGGGUUUGGCGGAGGACUAGGCGGUG